rnacentral:rRNA from 1 species
GACGAACGCUGGCGGCGUGCUUAACACAUGCAAGUCGAACGGAAAGGCCCGGCUUUUGUGGGGUGCUCGAGUGGCGAACGGGUGAGUAACACGUGAGUAACCUGCCCUUGACUUUGGGAUAACUUCAGGAAACUGGGGCUAAUACCGGAUAGGAGCUCCUGCUGCAUGGUGGGGGUUGGAAAGUUUCGGCGGUUGGGGAUGGACUCGAGGCUUAUCAGCUUGUUGGUGGGGUAGUGGUUUACCAAGGCUUUGACGGGUAGCCGGCCUGAGAGGGUGACCGGCCACAUUGGGCCUGAGAUACGACACAGACUCGUACGGUACGCAGCAGUGGAGAAUAUUGCACAAUGGGCUGAAGCCUGAUGCAGCAACGCCGCGUGCGGGAAGACGUCCUUCGGGUUGUAAACCGCUGUCGCCUGUGCCGAAGCGUGAGUGACGGUACCGGGUAAAGAAGCCCCGGCUAACUACGUG